GGAAUCUUUAUCUUGAAUGUAGAACUUUUAGAAUAUUCAGAAAAUACCCCCCUAAUGGAAAUUGAAAGAAAUCAGAGAAAAAUGUUUUCUCUCAUAGUCUUUCUCAUUCUCUCUGGGUGGAAUUAAUAGGUCUAGGUAGAAUUUUCCAUCACAAAACAUUGGAUUUUAAAACUAGCAUAGUCUGAUUAAGAUGAGAGAUAAGAGUGUGUGCAAAGAGCACAAGACCAGAACUAAGAAGACAAAAGUUACAAGUCCCAACUCUCAUACUGACCAGCAGAUUGAGCUUGUGAAAAGUCAUUCAAUUUCUCUGGGCUUUCAUUUCCUUCUCUGUAAAAAAGGGGGCAAUCAUACUUGCCAGUUCUACAUCUUAGAUGGAAUGUAAGAAACAGAGAUCCAGGGGGUUGCAAUGAGAAGCCAGGCUGAAGGAGAGAUAAAGUUGAAGAGCAGCAGAGGAGGGGCAGAGAGAGAAGCCUGGGAGUUCUAAAAGGAUUAGAACUCUGAAGCUAAUAGUCAACAGUCUUCCAGUCUGGGAGGUGAAGGAGGAAGGUGGUUUUCCUGGAAGCUGAGAAAGAGCCCAUUCCUUCUGGGACCGAAAAAUACCUCCACUAAGAUUCUUUAAGAACCUAAAUUCUCAAGGGGGUUUUAGAUUUGGACUCACUCUGUCCAGAGCCAUCCAGAUCUGAGAUUUCUCUCUCCUUGACCUGUUCCUGGACUCCUGAAUUAAAAGCUAGUUAUCUGAGGAAUAGGGAUCAACUAGCAAUUGGCCAGAAGAGGGUUCAAGAAACUCAACCUUGAACCCUGAGAACUUGGGGGGACCAGUCUGCCAGAGGGGACAAGUGUCAGGGUUUCCUGCUUCCCCACUUUCCUUGCCUGACACCCUUAACCUCUCCUUCCCUGUGCAAACCCAAAUAAAUUGUUUACUAGAAAAGGGGGCAGAAGAUUUAGGGAGAAUCACAUCUCUCCCCAAAAAGGGAAGGUUAGCUCAGGAUCCCAGUGAUCCAAACUGCCUAACCCACGGAACAACAUCUCUACUUGAUAGUGGGAUGACCCCAGAACUAUCCUCUGAGGAGACAUUCCCCUCUGUCAGGGAGACAAGACUUGGCCAACUCUCUCCCAGAAAAAGAGAGGGAAAGAAGAAUUUCUUCGCCCCCUCUCUCCAUUUCCCUCUCUCCUUCCCAUCCUCCCCUCCCCCUUAUAAUCCUUCUAUUACAUAGGACAACUUAAAGAAUUAAAUUAAAUGAUAAAGGUGAAUUGGCUCUUGUUAGUAAACUAUCAAGGGGUUUUAAGUUGUGUCACACUAACUGUGUGACUCUGGAGAAGUUGCUUAAUCUUUGCUUCAGUUUCAUCAUCUGUAAAACAAUCACUAGGUUGUAAGCUCCUUGAGGGCAAGGAUUGUCUUGAUUCUUUUUGUAUCCCCCAUGCUUAGUACAGUACCUGGCAUAUAGUAGACACUUAAUAAAUGUUUAUUGAUUGAUGAGAGCA
rnacentral:lncRNA from 1 species